ensembl:lncRNA
GGGAGGGCGUCGUUAGAGAGCCCAGGCCAGCGGGUCCUCCCCCCAACCCCCCCGUCGCUAAGCCCCACGGAGAGUUCAAACUCCGGCUCCCGGCGAGCGCCGCCUAAUCUGCCAUCUGCGGCCCAAACCUUAACAUUUCCUAAACGCGCCGAGCUCCAUUCAAAACACAAAGCCUGCACAUGGGACAGCCCCCCCCCCGGACCCCUCCCCCUCCCGUGCUAGAUCUGCACGACCGCUCACAUACAUGACAGCAGACAUAAUAGUGAUAUUCAGGGGGUUACGGCGACAUUAAUACUAGACACACGUGGUAUGAAUCAUACAAGAAUAUCACAGGAAAAGUCAAACGUGAAGCAGACACACACACACACACGCGCGCACACACACACACACACACACACACGUCCAGCAUGCUAUGCUACGCGCGGCUACACGGAGACAUGCCCACUUGCCCGGGAUGCUAUAGCGUUAGCAUGCUAGGCGGCUCGCUAGCAGCCCCCGAGCCGAUUGUAAAUAUUAACGUUAGCACAACAACAACAACAAAAAAAGCGGGAGCGCGCACCGAGGCUGGCCGGUGCCGACGCGGACUCAACGCCGGAGCCCCCGGCCCACGACGAGGAGCCGCGGCCCGGCGCGUCAGAGUCGGACGACAGACAGGCGAGUGAGCGAGCCGGGGGAUGGAGACCGUCACCGGGGUGGGAGCGACCCCUGGUGGCCAAACUACAGUAUAGGGGGGAAACUACAUGAAAGUAAAAGACAGAUUCAUUUCAACAGAUCAACAGAUUCAGCUUUUUUUCAGAUUUUAAAAAGGCCCAUGUGUGUUCAUGAAAUAAAAUGAAUCAGUUCUACUUACCUAGAUUCAUACAAUUACUAACGGUAUUUUUACACCUCCUGUUUGCACUGCACUGUUUGCACCAUCACAUGUUGCACAUCUUAUAUAUAUAUUUUAAAAUUGUAAAGUAUUGAAGUAUUCUUAUUUUAUAUUUUGUUUUUGUUUUGUAAGCAUUCUGUUUUCUCUUCCUUGUUUUGUUUUUGCUGGCAUUGACAUUUGUGAGUUUGACAAUUAUAUUUCCACAAAAAAACAUAUAAUCAAAUAAACAUGUAACAUUAACACAAAUGCAUAUAUUAUAUUGGUUUCAAAAUGUAGUGUGAUUAUGUACUGAGCUUAAACAAAUUUACAGUUUAAAACAUAAACUUGUCCAUGCUUUCAAGAAGACGCACUGUGUACUCGCAUCACGCUUUCUAUAUUGCUUUAAACGUAUUGUUGGUGUUUCUGUACUUGCUAAACCUGCUGUCUUCGCACAUUCAACAGUAAAAAAAAAAAUAUUUACAUAACACAUUUACAUUCAUCCUAACGUAUUUACAUUCAUCCAUGACGUACUAGACACAGUAUUGUAUGUACACUGCAAUGAAUGUUUCGUUCUCUUUGUUCCGAGUAGUUGACAUCGUUUUAUGUCUGUGUGUAUCUGUGUGUAUCUUCCUGUAAUUUCUUUUUUUUGGCAAUAGAAUUACAAUUCCACAGUAUGGAACCAUACUAAUUCUAUGCUUGAACAUUUAACCUAGUUUCUAUUCCUUAUUAUUCUAUAACUAACUAUAUUCGUAUACCAAAAUAGAGCAUUCUCCUUAAAAGUGGUCAUAACAUCUCAAAACAAACUUUAUUUUAAAAAUGGUAUUACAUACGAUCAAACAAGCUACUUCCAGUUGAACAUGCACUGCUGGGACUGCUUUGACUUGCUAGUAAGAAAGUUGCAGAAACUGAGUUUUUAAAAAAGAAUUUGAAAUAAAGUCCCAUAUUAAAAAAUAAACAGUCAUUUUAUCAACCAGUGUUAAUAACCAUGUUCAAUAAUUUAUCACAAGAAUAUGAAAUGAAGACAAAUAAGAAUAGGAAUUCAACAGAUGUUUUUGCAGCGUUACUGCUGCACACAGCACUGCUCUAGUUUCAUUUAAACUGCGCUCUAGUUUUAUGUGUUUGACUAAAAACGUGGGGUGUUGUGCCUUGAGCAUAACAUGAAUAGAGUGUGAUUAUCAGUGCACACAAGGCUUAACUUAUUAACCACAAUUUGUUCCAGUUUGAAAUGUUCUAACAUUCUGAACAUCACAAUCAAUAGAGAAAUAUCUUUCAAACUUAACCAAACAUAAUCCAUCCUGCCAGGUUUAUGUCACUUAGUGUAUACGGUAGCAUAUUCCUUAAAAAGUGUGAACAAAAAUAAGAUAAUAAUAACAUGGCACUGCACUAUAUAUAUAUAUAUAUCAAAAGAUAUUCCAGAUAAGAUGUGUAGGUGUGAAAAUUAGAAAUAGGCGCCAUUUGGUAAUGCCAUGCCAAUUAGGUCUGUGUAGCAACUGUAACUAUGUGAUUUGAAGAAACACCCAGCAGUUCAAUUGUGUGUAAUGGUCACCUGGCAGCACUGCUAAUGCCCAUUUCAGCCUACGCUGGGCAGGCCAUGGCCCAGUGGCCCCCUGCACCCCAGGCAAUUAUGUCUGGUUUCACACGGUGAAAAGGGUUAAUUGGCAGCGCCCACGCGCCUGAUUGGACCUGUUUCACGCCUGUCGGCCUUCAUCGCAUCAAAGGAAGCCCCAGUACACCAGGGAACAUUAUUAGUGCACGCACACACGCACACACGCACACACACACACACACACACACACACACACACACACACACACACACACCUCAUGCACAUGCACUGUACACAGACUCUACCUAAAUGCAAUGCUCUUCUGAUUGUACAUGAUGUGGAGGAGAAAAAAACACAUGCAAGUAUUCUGUGAAUGACACACACACACACACACACACACACACACACACAAAGACAAACAAAAUACACAACGCACACUCACAUGUACCUGCAGAUAUACAAUCAUAAAGAAAGUAUUGUAUUAUAUUAUUAGUAUUCUUUGUCCUCAUGCAGUCAUGAGUGUGUAUGAACACAGGCGUUAUGCAAAUUGCUUCCUGGAUAAUUCUGACUAUUAUCACUAGGGGUCAGUGUUGGUUUAUACAAAGCAGGGCCAUUACAAUCUGCCUCCCACAUUCACUCCAUCAUGACACAUGGGAGCUCCCCUCUGAGCACAGCACAG